CCUACGGGGGGCAGCAGUGGGGGAUAUUGCACAAUGGGGGGAACCCUGAUGCAGCGACGCCGCGUGUGGGAAGACGGUCCUCUGGAUUGUAAACCACUGUCCCCAGGGACGAAAAUGACGGUACCUGGGGAGGAAGCUCCGGCUAACUACGUGCCAGCAGCCGCGGUAAUACGUAGGGAGCGAGCGUUGUCCGGAAUUACUGGGUGUAAAGGGAGCGUAGGCGGGGAUGGAAGUUGGGUGUAAAAACUACCGGCUCAACUGGUAGUCGCACGCAAUACUGGAGCUCUAGAGUGAAGUAGAGGCAGGCGGAAUGACUAGUGUAGCGGUGAAAUGCGGAGAUAUUAGGAGGAACACCAGUGGCGAAGGCGGCCUGCUGGGCUUUUACUGACGCUGAGGCUCGAAAGUGUGGGGAGCAAACAGGAUUAGAUACCCUUGUAGUC
rnacentral:rRNA from 1 species